rnacentral:snRNA from 1 species
AGUUUUGCGCAGGGGCAAUAUCAUAGCCAGUGAGGUUUAUCCGAGGCGUGUUUUAUUGCUAAUUGGAAGCAGCUGUGAUCUCUUCCCAUCUGGAGCCAGAGAGGAUGAAGAAAAAUGAAGACUCAAGAAAGC